rnacentral:pre_miRNA from 1 species
CAACUCUCAUCUUACACUAUUGGAUCGAGAAAUGGACGCCUGAGAUUCAUCCAUGUCACCAUGAGUUAAAAUUUAACUCACAGAUUCCCUCAUGAGUAAAAUUUACUGGGAGUUAAAUUUUAACUCAUGUUGACGUGGACGAAUCUCAGGUGUCUAUUUCUCGAUCCAACGGUGUAGGAUGAGAGUUG